rnacentral:rRNA from 1 species
UACGGAGGUGGCGAGCGUUGUCCGAAGUUAUUGGGCGUAAAGAGCGUGUAGGCGGCCAGGCAGGUCCGCUGUGAAAACUCGAGGCUUAACCUCGAGACGUCGGUGGAAACCGUUUGGCUAGAGUCCGGAAGAGGAGAGUGGAAUUCCCGGUGUAGCGGUGAAAUGCGCAGAUAUCGGGAAGAACACCCGUGGCGAAGGCGGCUCUCUGGGACGGUACUGACGCUGAGACGCGAAAGCGUGGGGAGCGAACAGGAUUAGAUACCCUGGUAGU